ensembl:lncRNA
CAUGUGGAGAACCCAAAGCCCAGAUGGUAAAGAAUCUGCCUGCAAUGCAGGAGACCCAGGUUCUAUCCUUGGGUCAGGAAGAUCCCCUGGAGAAGGGAAUGGCAACCCACCCCAGUGAGGAUGAGAUGGUUGGAUGGCAUCACUGACUCGAUGGACAUGAGUCUGAGCAAGCUCAGGGAGUUGGUGAUGGACAGGGAAGCCUGGCGUGCUGCAGUCCAUGGAGUUGCAAAGAGUCGAACACGACUGAACGACUGAACUGAACUGAUGGUCUUUAUAUCAAACAUUUAUUGAAUACUUAUUCUAUGUGAGACACAAAACUAGAGAUGUAACACUGAACAUACUCUUGCCUGAAACAUGGCUCCUGCUUUUAGGGAACUCAGAAUGAAGGGGCUUUGGCUACCAUGGAGAAUCCAGUUUACACUUCGAUUUCACUGUAAAUCUGUUGGAGCGUGAUGAGUGCAUACUCAUUCAACUGUGAGCACCCUUGCAUGAUGAACAGGGUUUGUCUUAUCUGUGCCAGGACAAGGCAUCACGGACACUCAGUGUCCUCUGUACAAGCAGAAAUAAAACUCAGCUUCCUCUUCUUCCAUCAACCAUCGCCCCUCCCCCAUUCCCUGGUUCUCCAGCUCCAACACCACCUCAAUAACAUCCAGGGAUUGGAAGAGCGAGGAAAACCUCUUCUAGGACCACAAAGCCUGCGUUACUGCAUCACCUUCUGCAGAGAUCUGACCAGAGCGACGAUGACAACUGGUUUCUACAUGCCUGACACAUUUUUGUUUAAAUCAGUUAUUUCUCAAACUGCAAGUAGCUGCUAUUCUCUGGCAGUCAAAUCGAUAUUAAAUCAAUUUCCAAUGAGCUGCUGCUCCUUUUUCUUAAAAAAACAUAAUAAAAAUGUAUUGCAUUUGGUAAAGAUGGGAAUUGUUUUAUGAAACUUCUGUUUCUAUUAUCCAUCUAUCUGUCCAUACUAGAUAUGAAAGAAGAAUGCAUUUCUUACUGUGGGUUAUGGUCACAAAAGGUUUCAAAACGCUAGUUUGGAUAAUGCUUCUUUAUAUGGAGUACUCACUGUUCACAGAGAUUCCUUUUCCAAUACUGCCAGAUGCAGUCUUCCCUUCACAUCUGACAUUCAAGGAUCAGGGCACUCUAAGCACGCUUCUUCUUCUUGUUUUUUAAACUCUAAAUCAUGUGUAGUCUCAAAUUCCCAGACCCCAGAAUCUACACAGUACAAGGUUCCUGCUUAUGGGCUCUGCACCAAGACUGAGUUUUUUCAUGCAGCUCUCGUGCCGUGGGUCCUUCUGAGGUGCCUCAUGGGGGGAAAAGGAGGAACUCACUGGGCUGACUUACGUAACCGGGUCCAUUACAGCACACUCUGCCCUCCAGUUCCUCCUGGCAAGCAGGCCAUUGCUGGUUUCAUGAGAGUUCAUGAGUUCACAUUGGAGCUGGGAUGGUAAAUUCAGGAAAAGGUGGGCCUGCUUACACCCGUGGGGGAUAGCCCACAGCAGUCCCCUCCGUAGACAGGACCACACAGAGGGGGCCCGGAAGCCACCUUCCGACUCUGCACACCAUCCAGGUAUAAGGAGGGGUGAGGAACAAGAGCAGCCUGCACUUGCUCAGGAGACAGGACGGGAGGCGGCGGCUGCAGGCACAGCGCACGCCACCAAAGCAGUCCUCCUAACCAAGCACAAAGCACGGAGACCACGGGUCUGGGCAUCAGAACCUUCUACACUCGAAUUCCAGCUCUGCCUCUGGUUUCUUGCUUAACUCUACAAAGGGUUCUGGGUCACAUCAGUAAAACAC